rnacentral:rRNA from 1 species
CCUACGGGAGGCAGCAGUGGGGAAUAUUGCACAAUGGGGGAAACCCUGAUGCAGCGACGCCGCGUGAGUGAAGAAGUAAUUCGUUAUGUAAAGCUCUAUCAGCAGGGAAGAAAAUGACGGUACCUGAGUAAGAAGCCCCGGCUAACUACGUGCCAGCAGCCGCGGUAAUACGGAGGGGGCAAGCGGUAUCCGGAUUUACUGGGUGGAAAGGGAGCGUAGACGGCAGUGCAAGUCUGGAGUGAAAGGCGGGGGCUCAACCCCCGGACUGCUCUGGAAACUGUACGGCUGGAGUGCAGGAGAGGUAAGUGGAAUGCCUGGUGUAGCGGUGAAAUGCGUAGAUAUUAGGAGGAACACCAGUGGCGAAGGCGGCUUACUGGACUGUAACUGACGUUGAGGCUCGAAAGCGUGGGGAGCAAACAGGAUUAGAUACCCCUGUAGUC